rnacentral:rRNA from 2 species
GGUGAGUAACGCGUGGGAACGUACCAUUUGCUACGGAAUAACUCAGGGAAACUUGUGCUAAUACCGUAUGAGCCCGAAAGGGGAAAGAUUUAUCGGCAAAUGAUCGGCCCGCGUUGGAUUAGCUAGUUGGUGGGGUAAAGGCCUACCAAGGCGACGAUCCAUAGCUGGUCUGAGAGGAUGAUCAGCCACACUGGGACUGAGACACGGCCCAGACUCCUACGGGAGGCAGCAGUGGGGAAUAUUGGACAAUGGGCGCAAGCCUGAUCCAGCCAUGCCGCGUGAGUGAUGAAGGCCCUAGGGUUGUAAAGCUCUUUCACCGGUGAAGAUAAUGACGGUAACCGGAGAAGAAGCCCCGGCUAACUUCGUGCCAGCAGCCGCGGUAAUACGAAGGGGGCUAGCGUUGUUCGGAUUUACUGGGCGUAAAGCGCACGUAGGCGGGCUAAUAAGUCAGGGGUGAAAUCCCGGGGCUCAACCCCGGAACUGCCUUUGAUACUGUUAGUCUUGAGUAUGGUAGAGGUGAGUGGAAUUCCGAGUGUAGAGGUGAAAUUCGUAGAUAUUCGGAGGAACACCAGUGGCGAAGGCGGCUCACUGGUACCAUUACUGACG